CGAUUUGCUUCCGGGAAAACAAGUCCGAGAGCAGCAGACACUUGCCAAAAGUCACGCAGCGAAUGAGAGGGACUGAGAUGCCUAGAGACGUGCUCAAGAUCAUACCACUGUUAAAAGAAGGAAACAGCUCUGAACCCCCAUUCACCCAGCUUCAAAGCAUCUGCUCUUUCCAUUCUGCUCUACUGUUUCACUGAAUGUACGUGGAAGGGUGCCACGCAUUUUAUCUGGCUGCAUCGCAUUGCAUGCAUUUUUAGUAUUUGUGAGCACAUGUCAACAGGCAUGUCGACGUGCCUGCUAGAUUCCUAUCAGGCGAACCGCUUUUUACUGCCUCCCCCGGCGAAGUUCCCGGCUCGCCAACGUUUCUUUCGUCCAUACAAGGCCAGCUUCCACCCGCUGCUUUUGUGUAAAUAAAGCCUGGCCUUCUGCCUGCAGGUUGCAGCCAGAAGCCGGCCGAUGGGGGAAGGGUUCCGAACCGGUGCGACCGCCUCAGCCCGGCGGGAGAGGCCAAGAGCCGGCCACGCUCAGCCGUCGCGCGGGGGCGGCACUCCGGGGCCCCCAGAAUGAGCCGAGGGGAGAAACCCAGCACGUGAAAGUCCCCACCCACCUGCACCCUCUUCCGUGGGUCACCCCACGCGUGGCAGGCCCUUGACAAAUGUCGUCCUGAAUUCUCCCCACCAUCCUGGGAGUAUCCUCCCCAUUUUAUAGACGAGAGACUGAGGCUCAGCAAGUGUAAGUGGCUUGACCGAGGUCCCAUAGGUGAAAAAAGUGGCAAACCAAGAAAUUCUAAUCGAAUAUAUCUGGCAGCAAAACCCAGUCUUCUCCCACCCCACCGGUCACCAGCGAGCUUGUAAAGGUCUUAAGGGAGAAGAAUAAAAAAAAUAAUAAUAAUAACCACACGAAUCAGAUUAACAGAUCGUGGGGGGUUGAAAGGGCCUUCCAGAGCUGCUGGUAUUUCAAACAAGUGGACUCGAACCACAGUAUAAGUAACAAGACUUUUUUUCCUGGGAGACCAGUCAUACUCUUUUUUUUAAAAUUAAAAAUAUAUUUAUUAAAAUAGAUUACGAUGGAGGAGAAUAUAAUUUUCAAAAUAAUGGUAACUGAAGACAGAAGACUUAAAUGUCAGGCUGUUUCCACCUCGCACACCUUUCGUUCGAUUGCACACACAUUUCUUGACAUCAAGUACACAAACAGGCAAACUGAGGCCCGAAACCAGUCCCACUGACAGCCAGAGGCCGAGUGGGAAGAGAACCGAGAUUUCCGGGCUCUCGGCCUGGGGUGCUUUCGGCGGGGGGCGGGGGUCCUGUUUGUAAACAGGUGUCCUCGGACAGCCACUGCCGAUUUUUGUCACUCCGCCAACCGAAGGGACGAUUCUGAGUAAUCGCGGGCAGUCAGCGCAGCUGGGGCUAAAAGCGAAAGGGACGCG